rnacentral:lncRNA from 1 species
GUCGGUGAGACCAAGAACCCACCAUUUCCAGACACGCUGUUCUCUUCCUACGGACUGAAUGAAAAAUAAAAGGAAGUCAUUUCUGCAUGUGUCACAGAGGCAUCCUUUGGUUCUAAAGGAAGCUAAGUUGGAUUCCACAAGCCCAUGGUCCUUAUAGCAUGUGAAUAGGAUUCAGUCACGGACGAGAAGGAAGAGGUUCAGGAGAGACUGUAAUCGCCCUGUCCAGGCUAACCCUCCAGCUGUGCAGGAGUAUCAAGUCCAAAAAGAAGCUCUUCAAACCAUCUGGGAAGAGAAAACAGCAUGACAAGGAAAGGUGUAUUUGUCUGAUUCUAGGAAUCAAUAUAAACAUCCAUGAUAACCCCAUCUAAUUUUUAAAUGUAUGAUUUGGAUGAAACAAGAGAAGACACUGAUUGUUGCUGAGUCCCUGCUGUAGUCCUGACACAGCUGGAGAUGCCCUGCUCUCCUUAUUUUCUUGAUGCUCAUGAGGACCCUGAUGUCUAAGGAAGAAGGUUCUCGUCCAGGUCUGCCCCUGGUGUGUCACGUGCCAGCCUUGUCAAUGCACACGAGAACCUGACAGGUUUUAUGAUUUUAGAACAUAAGUUUUAUGAUUGUUAGUGCUGGGCAACAAAAAGGAGUCCAGAGGAACGGGAGAAAAAACAACAAUAGCAAUGAUGUGAAUGCAAAACAUGAACCAGACUAAGCAGAGCAGAGGGCGGUGUGGAGCGGGAAGCAGAGACAGAAGCUUGUGAUGUUUCAGUGAUUGCUGGGAGUUAUUCAUCACCGGUAAGCCUCAUGUUCCAAAGACUCAUCAGGGCCAGGGGUUAGUUUUACGAGCUCUGUGUAAAAGAUCAUUACACAGGGCCAGUUAGAGUUCCCGCAGGAAGGAAGCGGCACACCCUAUGGGGUGAUUAGGAAGAGUGUCAUGAAGGGUGCCACACUCACACCCUAGGAAAGAGGAAAGGGGCCCAAGGGGACUCACAGAGGGAGCAGAGGGUCUGUGGGCCACAGCCAGCCCAACCACAGAGUGGCCAGAGUGACAUAGGC